AAUGAACGCUGGCGGCGCGCCUAAUACAUGCAAGUCGGAGCGAGAAGACGUAGCAAUACGUUUGUAAAGCGGCGAACGGGUGAGGAAUACAUGGGGUAACCUACCCUCGAGUGGGGAAUAACUAGCUGAAAGGUUAGCUAAUACCGGCGUACGCUUCUUGGACUUCGGUUCAGGGAGGAAAGCGAUGCCGAGGGUAUCGCGCUCUUGGAUGGGCUCAUGUCCUAGUCAGCNGUUGGUGAGGUAACGGCUCACCAAGGCUUCGACGGGUAGCUGGUCUGAGAGGACGAUCAGCCACACUGGCACGUGCGACACGGGCCAGGACUCCUACGGGAGGCAGCAGUAGGAAUAUUGCGCAAUGGGCGAAAGCCUGACGCAGCGACGCCGC
rnacentral:rRNA from 1 species